UCAAUUCUUUCGCACCUGUCUUCUUUGGAAUCAAGGCUAUAUACGUUGCAUUGAAGCUUAUCUCAAACAUCUCUUGAGAAAGGAAGUUAUUGAAAGUCGCCAUUAUCUCUUCCUUCAAAAUGUCCCAACACUUGAUGAAAAAACCCAUUGUGUAUCCAUCCGGGCUGGGGCCUUGUCACUUGCACACAUCUUCAGACAGCUCAGAACUUCUUGUUGUAGAAAAUCAUUCUAUCCAUGAUAUGUGCGCUUUGGUUGUACUAGCAUGAUUUUCAG
rnacentral:lncRNA from 1 species